ACUCCAUAAAUACAUACACGUACUAUGUACCCACGAAAUUUAAAAACUAAAAUUUUUUUAAAAAAAGAGUUGAUGUUUAUUCCACUGCAGGGUUCCAAGAACAGAGGAGCCUGCCCUGCUUCCUGGCAUGGAGGCCAAGACACAGCAUGUGGUGGAAGCAGCGCUCCUGUGAUAACAGAGUUAAUCCACUCACCAGGGUGGGCCCUCAAGACCCAAAGCCUCACCGCUCCACACCGCCACAACGGCAACCAAGUUUCCAACACACGAACCUUCAGGGACCACAUUUAAACCCAAGCAGAGGUUGAUGUGAUUGAUAGGAAGGUGCCCAUAGACAAUCUUAGGAUGCAAGAUGACUUGAAUGAAAAGGUUACAGAAAUGUGUGAAGAUAACUGGGGAAAGGUUAUGAAUUAAUGGCUUCUUAUAUCUUCAGACCUCACCACUUAGAGGGCAAUAAACAAUGCCCCUCAUGUGGAAAGAGGAUUGCAUCAGGUACUUGAGGACAAUGAUAGCUGCCUAAAUCUACCACACCACAAUGCAGAAGACUGCACAAGGGAAGAACCUUGAGAACCACAUAAAACUCAGGCUCUGCUGCAAGCCUUUCUUGCAGGCAAAGGCAGUCUAAUAAACAUUUUUUAAAAAUCUUGCAUAGAAGAGAGAAGAAGGGAGUGAGCAGCAGAUCUAAAAUCUUUCUGAAACCACCACUAGGAUGAUAAAGUUAUCCUAACUGUGAAAAUACGGAAAAAAAGUGCAUUACUGCAUCACAGUGCUGAUUACAGGGAAGAGACUUAUAAUACAUGUGCUUUGAAGUGGCAGUCUUCAAAAGGUACAGCUUCUGAGAGAAAAAGAUGAAAAACUAAGAGGGAGGCACUGCAGUGACUGGGUGGUAAAAAAUAAAAGAAGUGGAAGGAAAAGUUACAGUCUUACAAGGCAAAGGGUAACAUGAAAGUCAGAGGGUACAUAACCACUUCCUGCAUCAACAGAAAUCUCAUCCCUGAAAAAAUGUAGACUGUUGCUAUACAGACAGAGGAGGAUGACAAGCCAUUAAACUAGAAAUCUUGUAAACCACCACUCAUAUGCAAAACGAAUAGUAUUGAGAGGUGAAGCUAGCAGGGCUUCUUGGUCGAGUGUGGACUUGGAGAACUUUUCUGUCUAGCUAGAGGAUUGUAAACGCACCAAUCAGCACUCUGCAUCUAACUAAAGGAUUGUAAAUGCACCAAUCAGCACUCUGUAAAAUGGACCAAUCAGCACUCUGUAAAGUGGAAGAAUCAGUGCUCUGUAAAAUGCACCAAUCAGCAGGAUGUGGGUGGGGCCAAAUAAGGUUAUAAAAGCUGGCCACCGGAGCCUGCAGGAACAACCCAAUUGGGUCCUUUUCCAUCCUGUGGAAGCUUUCUUCUUUCACUCUUCACAAUAAAUCUUGCUGAUGCUCACUCUUUAUGAGCUGUAACACUCACCAGAGGGUCUGUGGCUUCAUUCCUGAAGUCAGUGAGACCACGAACCCACCAACCCACGGGGAGGAACAAACAACUCCAGAUGCACUGCCUUUAAGGGCUGUAACACUCACUGCAAAGGUCUGCGGCUUCACUCCUGAAGUAAAUGAAACCACGAACCCACUGGAAGGAAGAAACUCGGGACACAUCUGAACGUCUGAAGGAACAAACUCCGGGCACACCAUCUUUAAGAACUGUAACAGCUCACCACGAGGGUCCACGGCUUCGUUCUUGAAGUCAGCGAGACCAAGAACCCACCAGAAGGAACCAAUUCUGGACACAGGGUGAAAUGGAAUAAGUCUAUGCAAAGUUACCACAAAGACACAAAAAGUGAGAAUUAACACAUUUCAGCUGGAUGAAACUUCUCACCAGAAACAACCAUGAAGAAAAAUAAACAUGUAAGAAAUGAUUCAAAAUGAGUUAAAUAUACUAAAAUCUCAAAUCUGAAGAGCCACUUUGAAUUAGAAAUCUGAAAACUGAAAGCAAAAAUAGAAAAAGCAGAAAAAAAUGAACAGAGUUGAUUGAACUUAGCAAAGAAAUGAUAAAAAGAAGACAAAAUCAUCUCAGAGUGAAGAAGACCGAAAUGGAAGAUAAUAAAGUGAAUUGACGGAACGCAAGAAAAUAAUCUGCAAAUGAAUAUAAGUUAACAAACAUCACAAAGCACCAGCUCCUUUAAUUGAGAAAAGAAGAAAGCACGAUGUACAAAAUAAUGACAAGGGGGACUAACCACUGAAACGGUAUGCAUCUGAGGAGAUGGCGAAGACAUUUUUAACAUCUUUAUCAGGAUCUACUGGGAGCAAGGACAUUACCAACCACAGGAGAUAACUAUAAAGCAUUCCAAAAGUAGCUCCUGUCAUGCCCUGUCCUGGGUUCUGCUAGAGGCACAGUGUUUGACCAUGGAGCAUCAAGUGACCAAGUGACCAGUGCCCCGUCAUGAGCUGCAUCGGGUCACACCCACAAAGACAUAGUUUCAUGCUGUACCUGUUAAGAGGUCCUGGCUUCCAGAAGGAAAUUACUUCCACCAGUGGACAUGGUAAGAGUCUCAUUGAACU
rnacentral:lncRNA from 1 species